rnacentral:sRNA from 1 species
AGUGAGGCUUCCUGACUGGCGCCGAUACUCUGGCAACAGAGCGUGGGAUGCCGGAAAGUUGGUCAAACUUGAUCAUUUAGAGGAAGUAAAAGUCGUAACAAGGUUUCCGUAGGUGAACCUGCGGAAGGAUCAUUACCGAUGUCGAAAAACACAAUCAACACUGUGUGAACCGUACCCAACCUUUCUGAGGGGUCGGCCCGGGGGGCCGUUAAAUGGCGAUCGGAGGCGAGGUGUCUCGCGGCCGCUUCGCCUGCCCCGGCCUUGUGUUUUUUUUCGUACGCUUCUUGUGGUGUCUGUCUGAUUGAUUUGACGAAAAGAAACAAAUCAAAGUAGAAAUGAGAGACAACUUUUGACGGUGGAUCUCUUGGCUCACGCAUCGAUGAAGAACGCAGCCAGCUGCGAUAAGUAGUGUGAAUUGCAGAAUUCAGUGAAUCAUCGAAUCUUUGAACGCAAAUGGCGCUCUUGGGUUCUCCCAGGAGCAUGUCUGUCUGAGUGUCGGAUUGUCAUCCAUCGCGGGCGUGCGUGCGUGCGUGCGCGCCGGCGGCGUUGGGGCGUCACGGCCUUUGUGGCAAGAAGGCCGUGUCCCUCGAAGGGCAGAGAGACUCGCUGUGGUUGGGGGCUUGUUUGUUCCCGCAGCGCAGCAGCGGAGGCUAAAAGUGUCAGCACUCCUUCGCGCCGCGCCGCCACCAGAGUCGUCAAGAAAGCGAAAGCCAAUCCUAUCAUCCUCUUGACCUCAGAUCAGGC